rnacentral:rRNA from 1 species
GGCUCAGGAUGAACGCUGGCGGUGUGCCUAAGGUAUGCAAGUCGAACGGUCCUUAUGAUUAUCAUUUGGACAGUGGCAGACUGGUGAGUAACGCGUGGAUAAUCUGCCCCGAAGAUGAGGAUAGCUCGCCGAAAGGUGAGGUAAUCCUCAAUGGUGUGGGAAGUACAUAUGUACAUCCCACUAAAGCUUUAGCGCUUCGGGAUGAGUCUGCGUCCUAUCAGCUUGUUGGUAGAGUAAAGGUCUACCAAGGCUAAGACGGGUAACUGGUCUGAGAGGAUGGUCAGUCGCAGUGGCACUGAAACACGGGCCACACUCCUACGGGAGGCAGCAAUUAGGAAUCUUGCACAAUGGAGGAAACUCUGAUGCAGCGACACCGCGUGAAGGAUGAAGACCCUCGGGUUGUAAACUUCUUUUAUAAUCUAACAAGUUCUGAGUGGAGUAUGAAUAAGCACCUGCUAACUGCGUGCCAGAAGCACCGGUGAAGCGUGGGGUGCGAGCGUUAUCCGGAUUUAUUGGGCGUAAAGAGAUGCGUAGGCGUUUUGGUAAGUCUUCUGUCAAAGCCUUCGGCCUAACCGAAGAAAGGCAGAGGAUACUAUCAGAAUUGAGACAGAGAGGGGGAAGUGGAAUUCCCGGUGGAGCGGUGAAAUGCGUUGAUAUCGGGAGGAACACCAGUGGCGAAGGCAACUUCCUGGCUCUGUUCUGACGCUGAGGCUCGAAAGCGUGGAGAGCAAAGCGGAUUAGAUACCCGUGUAGUCCAUGCUGUAAACGUUGGAUACUGGACGUUUGGUUC